rnacentral:rRNA from 1 species
UACGUAGGGUGCAAGCGUUGUCCGGAAUUAUUGGGCGUAAAGAGCUCGUAGGCGGUCAGUCGCGUCUGCUGUGAAAACUCGGGGCUUAACUCCGGGCCUGCAGUGGGUACGGGCUGACUAGAGUGCGGUAGGGGAGACUGGAAUUCCUGGUGUAGCGGUGAAAUGCGCAGAUAUCAGGAGGAACACCGGUGGCGAAGGCGGGUCUCUGGGCCGAAAUUGACGCUGAGGAGCGAAAGCGUGGGGAGCAAACAGG